UCUUUUUCUCAGCUUGUGAGUUUUCUGGUUUUACUGUUUUGAUUCCUCCCCAGUCCAGCCCAGUCCUGCUGGUGAGGGAGGAACCAACUUGGUUGCUGACUGGAGUCAAAUUUUGGCAUCAGUUGCUGCCACCCUAAGGACACAAACAGCCAGAGCUGCAGAAAAGUGGUCCCUGCGUGGCUGCAUCUUGUGCAGUGCCAGGCAGGGGCCUCGGUCUCUAGAUGACUGGAAACGUCAAAGGGACAUGGGACAGAGGAAGAAGAAUGAGGAAGGUGGAGACCAGCAGAGGAAAGAAAAUGCACCCUAGCAAGCCAAAGUAGGACCAUACUGCAUGCUGCAGGGUGGGGAGAGGCCAAGUUAAACUCCAGGUCCUUAGUUUCUGAUUUCACCUUUGCCUUAUUCAUCAGUCACAAUCCUCGCCAAG